rnacentral:rRNA from 1 species
UGUGCGCGUGCUUAAACAUGCAAGUCGAACGAACCUUCGGGUUAGUGGCGGACGGGUGAGUAACGCGUGAGAAUCUGCCCUCAGGAGGGGGACAACAGCUGGAAACGGCUGCUAAUACCCCAUAUGCCGCGAGGUGAAAUGAAUUUCGCCUGAGGAUGAGCUCGCGUCUGAUUAGCUAGUUGGUGUAGGUAAUGGCUCACCAAGGCAUCGAUCAGUAGCUGGUCUGAGAGGAUGAUCAGCCACACUGGGACUGAGACACGGCCCAGACUCCUGCGGGAGGCAGCAGUGGGGAAUUUUCCGCAAUGGGCGAAAGCCUGACGGAGCAACGCCGCGUGAGGGAUGAAGGCCUCUGGGCUGUAAACCUCUUUUAUCAAGGAAGAAGAUCUGACGGUACUUGAUGAAUAAGCCACGGCUAAUUCCGUGCCAGCAGCCGCGGUAAUACGGGAGUGGCAAGCGUUAUCCGGAAUUAUUGGGCGUAAAGCGUCCGCAGGCGGCCCUUCAAGUCUGCUGUUAAAAAGUGGAGCUUAACUCCAUCAUGGCAGUGGAAACUGUUGGGCUUGAGUGUGGUAGGGGCAGAGGGAAUUCCCGGUGUAGCGGUGAAAUGCGUAGAUAUCGGGAAGAACACCAGUGGCGAAGGCGCUCUGCUGGGCCAUCACUGACGCUCAUGGACGAAAGCCAGGGGAGCGAAAGGGAUUAGAUACCCCUGUAGUCCUGGCCCGUAAACGAUGAACACUAGGUGUCCGGGGGAAUCGACCCCCCUCGGUGUCGUAGCCCAACCGCGUUAAGUGGUUCCGCCUGGGAAGUACGCCACGCC